CAGACCGCCCGUACCGCAAACCGACACAGGUAGUCGGGUCGAGAAGACCAAGGUGAGCGAGAGAACUCUCGUUAAGGAACUCGGCAAAAUGACCCCGUAACUUCGGGAGAAGGGGUGCUGAUCGCAAGAUCAGCCGCAGUGAAUAGGCCCAGGCGACUGUUUAUCAAAAACACAGGUUUCUGCAAAAUCGUAAGAUGAAGUAUAGGGGCUGACGCCUGCCCGGUGCUGGAAGGUUAAGAGGAUGGGUUAGCGUAAGCGAAGCUCAGAAUUGAAGCCCCAGUAAACGGCGGCCGUAACAAUAACGGUCCUAAGGUAGCGAAAUUCCUUGUCGGGUAAGUUCCGACCCGCACGAAAGGCGUAACGAUCUGGGCACUGUCUCAACGAGAGACUCGGUGAAAUUAUAAUACCCGUGAAGAUGCGGGUUACCCGCGACAGGACGGAAAGACCCCAUGGAGCUUUACUGUAGCUUGAUAUUGGGUGUUUGUACAACUUGUACAGGAUAGGUAGGAGCCGUAGAAGUCGGGACGCUAGUUUCGACGGAGGCAUCGGUGGGAUACUACCCUCGUUGUAUGAACACUCUAACCCACGCCGGCAAUCACGGCGGGAGACAGUGUCAGGUGGGCAGUUUGACUGGGGCGGUCGCCUCCUAAAAGGUAACGGAGGCGCCCAAAGGUUCCCUCAGAAUGGUUGGAAAUCAUUCGCAGAGUGUAAAGGCAUAAGGGAGCUUGACUGCGAGACCUACAAGUCGAGCAGGGACGAAAGUCGGGCUUAGUGAUCCGGUGGUUCCGCAUGGAAGGGCCAUCGCUCAACGGAUAAAAGCUACCCUGGGGAUAACAGGCUUAUCUCCCCCAAGAGUCCACAUCGACGGGGAGGUUUGGCACCUCGAUGUCGGCUCAUCGCAUCCUGGGGCUGUAGUCGGUCCCAAGGGUUGGGCUGUUCGCCCAUUAAAGCGGUACGCGAGCUGGGUUCAGAACGUCGUGAGACAGUUCGGUCCCUAUCCGUCGCGGGCGCAGGAAAUUUGAGAGGAUCUGUCCUUAGUACGAGAGGACCGGGAUGGACAUACCGCUGGUGUACCAGUUGUUCUGCCAAGGGCAUCGCUGGGUAGCUAUGUAUGGAUGAGAUAAACGCUGAAAGCAUCUAAGUGCGAAACUCACCUCGAGAUAAGAUUUCCCACUCCUUUAUGGAGUUAAGACCCCUGAGAGAUGAUCAGGUAGAUAGGAUGGAAGUGGAAGUGCGGCGACGCAUGGAGCGGACCAUCACUAAUCGGUCGAGGACUUAACU
rnacentral:rRNA from 1 species